CGGCGACUGAAGCGGGAACAGCUCAAAUUUGAAAGCUGGCACCUUCCGGUGUGUCCGNCGUUUGUAAUUCUUCGAGAAAGUGUUUUUCCCGUGCUGGGACCCAUGUACCAAGUUUCCUUGGAAUUAGGACGUCAUAGAAGGGUGAAAAUUCCCGUACUUGACAUGGACGCCCAGUGCUUUGUGAUACACUCUCCACGAGUCGAGUUGUUUGGGAAUGCAGCUCAAAAUGGGUGGUAAAUUCCAUCUAAAGCUAAAUAUUGGGGAGAGACCGAUAGCGAACAAGUACCGUGAGGGAAAGAUGAAAAGCACUUUGGAAAGAGAGUUAAACAGUACGUGAAAUUGUCGAAAGGGAAGCGCUUGAAGUUAGACAUGCUUGCCGGGAUUCAGCCUUGCUUUUGCUUGGUGCAUUUCCCGGUGUGCAGGCCAGCAUCAGUUUUGUUUGCCGGAUAAGGGUGAGAGGAACGUGGCCCCUCGGGGUGUUAUAGCCUCUCACUGGAUACGGCGGAUGGGACUGAGGACCGCAGUGUGCCUUUAUGGCGGGCCUUCGGGCAACCUUCACACUUAGGAUGCUGGCGUAAUGGCUUUAAGCGACCCGUCU
rnacentral:rRNA from 1 species